UAGGGAAUCUUCGGCAAUGGACGAAAGUCUGACCGAGCAACGCCGCGUGAGUGAAGAAGGUUUUCGGAUCGUAAAACUCUGUUGUUAGAGAAGAACAAGGACGUUAGUAACUGUACGUCCCCUGACGGUAUCUAACCAGAAAGCCACGGCUAACUACGUGCCAGCAGCCGCGGUAAUACGUAGGUGGCAAGCGUUGUCCGGAUUUAUUGGGCGUAAAGCGAGCGCAGGCGGUUUCUUAAGUCUGAUGUGAAAGCCCCCGGCUCAACCGGGGAGGGUCAUUGGAAACUGGGAGACUAGAGUGCAGAAGAGGAGAGUGGAAUUCCAUGUGUAGCGGUGAAAUGCGUAGAUAUAUGGAGGAAAACCAGUGGAGAAGGCGGCUCUCUGGUCUGUAACUGACGCUGAGGCUCGAAAGCGUGGGGAGAAAACAGG
rnacentral:rRNA from 1 species